AUUUUAAUUGUUUUAUAUGAAUAAAAAAACUAUUAUUGUUUUAUAUUAACGGUGAAGUAUUAAAUCAAAUAAACUAUUUUAUUUUUAUUUCAGAAUAAGUUGUAUUUUGAAUCUGGUUAUGGUAUUAUUACUGCCUAGAUUUAUAUUGUAAUCUGUUUACACUUAUUCUACUUUUUUGUUUUUACAUAAUUUUGUUUAUAUUUAUUUUACUAAAUAAUUACUAAUAGAUAAAGAAGUAUGUGCAGGAUUUAAUUUCACGACUAAAGAGGACUCCGAAGAAGAAUUAAAGUUCUGGUAGAUCAAAGAUCGAGGAAUGAUUUGGUUUUAACUGGUUUGCAACUUAUGAACGAAGUGCAUAAUAUAAUUUAAAUUGAUGAUUUAUAGUUACACCUGUUGAAAUUCUGUAUCUCAAUGAUAUCCUGGCUUAUCGAUACGAUAUCCUGUAAAUCCACUCACA